GAGGAAAGUCCGGGCUCUAUUUAUAAAUGUAUAGCUUUAUAAAAUAAAGUAUAGGUAACUAUAAGGAUCGUGCCACAGAAAUAUACCGCCCGAAUUUUUUGGGUAAGGGUGCAAUGGUUCGGUAAGAGCGCACCAGAAAUAUUUUCAAAGUAUUUGCUAGGUAAACCCCGUAUUAGAGCAAAGAGGUUAUAAGAUAUAUGUUAUUACUAUUUUUGUAAGUUUUAUAUACUUUUUAUUUUACUAAUCAUUGAUACCGCAUAAAGUGUUUUACUUUACUUAAGAUUAAUAAUUACCCUUUUCAUAUCAAGCUGAUUUAAUUAAAUUUUUGAAAAGAACCAAACCCGGCUUAU
rnacentral:RNase_P_RNA from 1 species